rnacentral:rRNA from 1 species
UCAAGAGCAGUCUAACUCUUGGGCGAAGCGAAAGCGAAACGAACCAUCUUUUAUAGUUGGUUCAAGCCGAUCCGGUGUCUUCUUUGAGAAGUCUGGCGCAGGCUGAGGGCCCGCUGUUGUCGGCCGGUGUUCCCGGAUGUGUAUCAUGUCCUUACAUCGGUCGGUUGGCGGGCACCCGGAGCGUGCGCGUUAGUACCCGAAAGAUGGUGAUCUAUGCUUGGCUAGAAUGAAGCCAGAGGAAACUCUGGUGGAGGUUCGUAGCGAUUCUGACGUGCAAAUCGAUCGUCGGAGCUGAGUAUAGGGGCGAAAGACCAAUCGAACCAUCUAGUA